rnacentral:ribozyme from 18 species
UUUUUUUUUUUUUUUUUUAAAUUAAAUUCACUUUUAAUUCAGCUUUGCUUGGAAAACUCAUAACAAGAAAAAAAACUAUUACAC